AACGAACGCUGGCGGCAGGCCUAACACAUGCAAGUCGAGCGCGCCUUCGGGUGAGCGGCGGACGGGUGAGUAACGCGUGGGAAUAUGCCCUUCUCUACGGAAUAGUCCUGGGAAACUGGGGGUAAUACCGUAUACGCCCUUUGGGGGAAGAUUUAUCGGGGAAGGAUUAGCCCGCGUUGGAUUAGGUAGUUGGUGGGGUAAUGGCCUACCAAGCCGACGAUCCAUAGCUGGUUUGAGAGGAUGAUCAGCCACACUGGGACUGAGACACGGCCCAGACUCCUACGGGAGGCAGCAGUGGGGAAUCUUAGACAAUGGGGGCAACCCUGAUCUAGCCAUGCCGCGUGAGUGAUGAAGGCCUUAGGGUUGUAAAGCUCUUUCAGCUGGGAAGAUAAUGACGGUACCAGCAGAAGAAGCCCCGGCUAACUCCGUG
rnacentral:rRNA from 1 species